GUUGAUGAUCCAGUUUGUGAACAGCUGCAGACGUUUUGCAGCGUUUCGUUAAUGUUUGUGAAGUGCCUUAAUAUACAGUGUUUCAUUUGACCGUUAUAGAAGUCACGGAGUAAGCAGACGACAAGUAUCCUGUUUUUAUUAGUUUGAAAAUUGAGACUUGAAAAGUUUAAAGAGACUUGACCCGACUUACCAGAGGAGAUCCUCAGCUGGCUCUGAUAAAGCAAGCUACCAUGUUCUGCACUGUCCUGUGGAAAAGAAGAUAUGACUAGGAACAGUUGAUAGCCAGCAAAGAACUGAGGCCCUCAGACCAACAGCCUACAAUGAACUGAAUUCAGCCAACAACUGUGUAAGAUUGGAAGCAGGUCCUUCCCACUUGAGCUUUCAGAUGAGUGUCCAGCCACAGAUGACCCCUUGAUCUUAGCCUCAUUAGAGAUUAUAAAGCAAAGAAUUCAGUUAAGCUCAGAAUCCUGACCCACAGAAACUGUGGGAUAAUAAAUGUGUAUUGUUUUGAGCCAC